UCCAUCCUGUGCACCAUAUUUAGACUUUUAGAGAGGGAAGACGAGAGGAGGGCUGACCAUUUCCUUUGGAACCAGGAGACAAAGAGAGUGAAGUGCGUAAGAGAAAGAAAUGUACAGGGAGAGAGAGGUGGAUGCAGAGAAAGAAAUAGAGAGAGAGAGCGCGCAGGGGCGGGGGGUGACCACGGAUAUCUCAAAGAAACACAGAAGAGCAGACAGGGUUUUUCAUAGUGGUGCUGUUUUUUUGAAGCAGAUGGUAAACUUCUUGUGAAGAAAAUCAGAUGGGCUGAAUGAUACAACCAGUGCAUGUGUUGCAAGCUGACUGGUGCAGCUUGAUGCGUGUGGUGCCAGCCAAGUAGUGUGUAUGGUGCAUUAGCGGUGGAUAUGGUCAAGGAACCCCUAGGUGCAUCAAACAACAUAUAUGCUACUUUGGUAGGAUUGACUAUAACUUACGAAGAUCCACUUCUUUACGACGACAACUAUAUUUGAGAGGUUGCUCUCUCCCUUAACUGUACGAGAGGUCAGGAUAUGCGACAUUAGCGCAUAGUAUGCACAUAGACAGCUGACCGCUAAAGACCUUUGGUAGGAGAACUUGGACCGGACGUUAUGAGUUGAUGGCUAACGUGUGACUGGAUGGCUCGACUUGAUGAGACAUUGGCGAGGACCAUGUGCAAGAGGAUUGAGUACACUUGGCUGGGCAAGUAUAGACCAAGACGAUUAUGGUGGGUUCAAAUAUAUGUAACUGCCCAAAUGUGGGUUUGUGUAAUGGCCAUGAGCCAUAUGUGGGUAAGUACUUGUUUGACCUUUCGUAAGUGAACUAUGUUGGUGUAUGGCUAGUCAUGAUGCAGAUAGUGAGUUGAUUAGGAGUAUCUGAUUCCUUAUAUCAAUGAGUCGCUUAGGAGUGAAUUGACGGGGUGGGGUGGGAAGGUAGUUGAAAUAGUUUGAUAGGUUGUUACAAUGCUCAUGGUGGCACGCGAUCGAGGGAUAAUAGGCAGACUGUGCGUAAUUGACCCAAGAAAUAGGGUAGCUAGGUGGUGUUCAUGCAGGUCAUGGUGGCAUAACCAACACAUGUAUAGUGUGAAUUUGUUAGUUCAUCUAUAAUAAUCCCAUGCCCGGCUCUUGGUGAGGGAGUCCAUGGCUAUAUAAUA